GAUGAACGCUGGCGGCGUGCCUAAUACAUGCAAGUCGAGCGAACAGACGAGGCGCUUGCUCCUCUCACGUUAGCGGCGGACGGGUGAGUAACACGUGGAUAACCUACCUAUAAUACUGGGAUAACUUCGGGAAACCGGAGCUAAUACCGGAUAAUAUAUUGAACCGCAUGGUGCAAUAGUGAAAGACGGUUUUGCUGUCUCUUAUAGAUGGAUCUGCGCCGCAUUAGCUAGUUGGUAAGGUAACGGCUUACCAAGGCAACGAUGCGUAGCCGACCUGAGAGGCUGAUAGGCCACCUGGGAGCUGAGACACGGUCCAGACUACUACGGGACGCAGCAGUAGGGAAUCUUCGGCAAUGGUCGAAAGCAUGACGGAACAAGCCCGAGUGAGUGAUGACGGUCUUCGGAUCGUAAAACUCUGUUAUUAGGGAAGAACCACUGUGUCAGGAACCGUGCCCGUAUUGACGGUACCUAAUAAGAAAGCAACGGCUAACUACGUG
rnacentral:rRNA from 1 species